rnacentral:rRNA from 1 species
AUUGAACGCUGGCGGCAAGCCUUACACAUGCAAGUCGAACGGCAGCACGGGGCAACCUGGUGGCGAGUGGCGAACGGGUGAGUAAUGCAUCGGAACGUACCUUUCAGUGGGGGAUAACGUAGCGAAAGUUACGCUAAUACCGCAUAUUCUGUGAGCAGGAAAGCAGGGGACCGCAAGACCUUGCGCUGAUUGAGCGGCCGAUGUCAGAUUAGCUAGUUGGUGAGGUAAAGGCACAACAAGGCGACGAUCUGUAGCGGGUCUGAGAGGAUGAUCCGCCACACUGGAACUGAGACACGGUCCAGACUCCUACGGGAGGCAGCAGUGGGGAAUUUUGGACAAUGGGGGCAACCCUGAUCCAGCCAUGCCGCGUGAGUGAAGAAGGCCUUCGGGUUGUAAAGCUCUUUCGGCCGGGAAGAAAACGCACGGGCUAAUACCCUGUGUGGAUGACGGUACCGGAAUAAGAAGCACCGGCUAACUACGUGCCAGCCGCCGCCGUAACAC